GAUGAACGCUGGCGGCGUGCCUAAUACAUGCAAGUCGAGCGAACGGACGAGAAGCUUGCUUCUCUGAUGUUAGCGGCGGACGGGUGAGUAACACGUGGAUAACCUACCUAUAAGACUGGGAUAACUUCGGGAAGCCGGAGCUAAUACCGGAUAAUAUUUUUAACCGCAUGGUUCAAAAGUGAAAGACGGUCUUGCUGUCACUUAUAGAUGGAUCCGCGCUGCAUUAGCUAGUUGGUAAGGUAACGGCUUACCAAGGCAACGAUGCAUAGCCGACCUGAGAGGGUGAUCGGCCACACUGGAACUGAGACACGGUCCAGACUCCUACGGGAGGCAGCAGUAGGGAAUCUUCCGCAAUGGGCGAAAGCCUGACGGAGCAACGCCGCGUGAGUGAUGAAGGUCUUCGGAUCGUAAAACUCUGUUAUUAGGGAAGAACAUAUGUGUAAGUAACUGUGCACAUCUUGACGGUACCUAAUCAGAAAGCCACGGCUAACUAUGUG
rnacentral:rRNA from 1 species